UCUUGCGCAAUGGGCGAAAGCCUGACGCAGCGACGCCGCGUGACUGAUGAAGUCCUUCGGGAUGUAAAAGUCUUUUGCCAGGGAAGAAGGAUGUGACGGUACCUGGCGAAUAAGCCCCGGCUAACUACGUGCCAGCAGCCGCGGUAAUACGUAGGGGGCGAGCGUUGUCCGAAGUCACUGGGCGUAAAGCGCGCGUAGGCGGUCUUUUAAGUUGGAUGUGAAAUCCUGCGGCCCAACCGCAGAACUGCAUCCAAAACUGGGAGACUUGAGGAUGGAAGAGGGCAGUGGAAUUCCUGGUGUAGCGGUGAAAUGCGUAGAUAUCAGGAGGAACACCCGUGGCGAAGGCGGCUGCCUGGUCCAUAUCUGACGCUGAGGUGCGAAAGCCAGGGGAGCGAACGGG
rnacentral:rRNA from 1 species